rnacentral:lncRNA from 1 species
GCUGAACCUUGAAUCGUGGGCGGCGGAGGUGGAGCAGGAGCUGAACCACGUCCAGGAGGCGGUGGAGGUGGAGCAGGAGCUGAACCACGACUAGGAGGUGGUGGAGGUGGGGCAGGAGCUGAACCACGACCAAGAGGUGGUGGAGGUGGGGCAGGAGCUGAACCACGACCAGGAGGUGGUGGAGGUGGCACAGGGAGCUGAACCACGACCAGGAGGUGGUGGAGGUGGGGCUGGGGCUGAGGCCGAACCAUGGCCUGGAGGAGGUGGUGGAGGUGGGAUAGGUGCUAAACCACGACCUGCAUGAGGAGGUGGUGGUGGUGCAGAUGGAGUUUCUCCUGAACUACGAGAAGGCAGUUGUGGGG